CCUACGGGAGGCAGCAGUGAGGAAUAUUGGUCAAUGGGCGCGAGCCUGAACCAGCCAAGUAGCGUGAAGGAUGACUGCCCUACGGGUUGUAAACUUCUUUUAUAAAGGAAUAAAGUGCGGCACGUUUGCCCUGUUGUAUUAACUUUAUGAAUAAGGUUCGGCUAACUCCGUGCCAGCACCCGCGGUAAUCCGGAGGAGCCGAGCGUUUCCCGGAUUUAUUGGGUUUAAAGGGAGCGGAGAUGGGUUGUUAAGUCGGGUGUGAAAGUUUGCGGCUCAACCGUAAAAUUGCAAUUGAAACUGGCAGUCUUGAGUACAGGUGAGGUAGGCGGAAUUCGUGGUGUAGCGGUGAAAUGCUUAGAUAUCACGAAGAACUCCGAUUGCGAAGGCAGCUUACUAAACUGCAACUGACAUUGAUGCUCGAAAGUGUGGGUAUCAAACAGGAUUAGAUACCCUUGUAGUC
rnacentral:rRNA from 1 species